rnacentral:rRNA from 1 species
GGCGUAGGCGGUAAAAGAAGUCAUCUGUGAAAACCUAUUGCUCAACGAUAGGCUAGCGGAUGAAACUGAAUUACUUGAGGGCACCAGAGGUAGACGGAAUUACCUGAGUAGGGGUGAAAUCCGCAGAUACGGGUAGGAACGCCGGUGGAGAAGUCGGUCUACUGGGGUGCACCAGACGCUGAGGCCCGAAAGCUAGGGGAGCAAACCG